AUGUUCUCUGCAGCUCUGAUUCUGCUGCUGACCGCUGGAUCCUGUGUGCACUGUAUUGAUCUCAUCACACCAGGCUCAAUGGUUGUGCAGCCUGGACAGUCUCUGACCCUCACCUGUCAGGUCUCUGGUUACUCUCUGACUGAUAACAGCUAUGCAACAGGUUGGAUCAGACAGCGUGAAGGGAAACCGAUGGACUGGAUCUCUUAUCAGUGGGGAGGAAGCUCUGGGAGCUUUUACCAAAAUAAUGCUCUGAAGAACAAGUUCAGCUACAGCAGAGACACGUCUGCUGGAACAGUGACUCUAACAGGACAGAGUCUGCAGCCUGAAGACACUGCUGUGUAUUACUGUGUCAAACACAGAGAGGCAGUCAGCGAGGGCAGAAAAAUCCAACGAGGGCAAAUCCACAAAAUCCAAACAAAGUUCAAAACCGGGAAAAGCAAACAGGGAAAAUAA